GAUGAACGCUGGCGGCGUGCCUAACACAUGCAAGUCGAACGGAGUUCUUAAGGAAUGCGACUUCGGUCAAAUGACUUUUGAACUUAGUGGCGGACGGGUGAGUAACGCGUGAGCAACCUGCCUUUCAGAGGGGGAUAACGUUCUGAAAAGAACGCUAAUACCGCAUAUAAUCAAGAAACCGCAUGAUUUUUUGAUGAAAGGAGCAAUCCGCUGAGAGAUGGACUCGCGUCUGAUUAGCUAGAUGGUGGGGUAACGGCCUACCAUGGCGACGAUCAGUAGCCGGACUGAGAGGUUGAACGGCCACAUUGGGACUGAGACACGGCCCAGACUCCUACGGGAGGCAGCAGUGGGGAUAUUGCGCAAUGGGGGAAACCCUGACGCAGCAAUGCCGCGUGAAGGAAGAAGGUUUUCGGAUUGUAAACUUCUUUGUUAAAGGACGAAGAAAUGACGGUACUUAACGAAUAAGCUCCGGCU
rnacentral:rRNA from 1 species